rnacentral:misc_RNA from 1 species
UCAUCAUCACAUUGGUGAUGGAGAUAAAGUGAUUUUGUAUUAAGUGUUGUCGAGUACACUUAAGCAAAUUUACUGAUUAAGUUAAGUCAGAUGUUCUUAGUCAUUGUAUUCUUCGCUCAGCUUACAUGACUAAGGGAGCAACAAUCUAUUGGAGUCUUUGAUUUUAUUUAUAAUUUAAGGAGGUGCUCACUAUGGCAGCAGAUAUCAUUAGCACAAUCGUUGAAUUUGUUAAACUUAUCGCAGAAACAGUAGCAAAAUUUAUCAAAUAAUAAGAUUUGAUAAAAGUAUUUGUUAGAAUCUUUUUCCUUACUUAGACUAAAGUAAAAUCAGGUUUCGAUAUUGAAGCCAUUGUAGCAAUAUUUAAUAAUCGGUAAAUUCACUAAAUUUUUUCAUAAUUAAUAACAUCCCCAAUUAAAUAGAAUAACUGUAAAUAAAACAUUCCCUUAAUAUGAAGAACAGGCGAGUCCCUCCCAAGCUCGUCUGUUC